GCUUUCUUAAUUUCAAUUUCUAUCCUUAUAUCCUAAUCAUACGUUUAACGAUUCCUAAGACGUAGAAAAUUUAUCACCUUGCCGAUAUUAGCCAUUUACAAUCUUAAUUAUAGUUCAUCUUAAAAUAUUUUUCUUGGCAAACGAGACAGAGUGGCGGAACGACCGGUUGUACGAGGGCGAUUUCUCGAAUACGUUUCGUAAUUGCACGAAAAAAAGAUGAAGAAGAAGAAGAAGAAAAAGAAGAGGAAGAAGAAGAAGUAGUAGUAAUAGUAGUAACGAAGAAGGAAGAGAGAGGGAGGGAGAGAGAGAGAGAGAGAGAGAGAGAGAGAGAGAGAAGAAAAGAGAAGAAAAAAAGAAAAGAAACGAAGAGAAGAGAGAAGAUAAGAGAAGAGCGUAAGCCCUAAAAGGCACCGUAAAAGAAUCGACCGACAAAUUGUCGCAAGCGGAUACACCUGCCCUAUCGUCCUCACAAGGAACGCGUACUCUAUACGAUGAGAUGGCCCGGUCGUUGAGAGAUGUCCGCGAAUGCUUAAUUAAUAUCUGGGUCAGAAUACGGGGAGCGGCUUUAAUUACCCAUAGCUACCGGCGACUAAUGAUAAAUACGAGUUUUGCACCGUGUGCCAGAACGCCUGCGUGUCCCUUCUUUUCCCUCUUGGCAUUCGUUAUAUCUUCUCGCGAAGGCUACCGGCCAAGAAACAUUUCACGUGACUUUACACGAUAUAUAGAAGUAUUCCUCAGCGAGGAUACUGGACCCAUCGCAAGACCGGUUUGGUAAGAGUCAACUGAUCGUUCAGGCAAGAAACAACUGAAUCAUCGUAUCCCCUAUUCUUCGAAGGCAGGAUCGGUACGAGCAUUGCUACGUCAGCAUACUAAAAUUUCAGAAGCUUGAACGUUGUGAAGGUGCCGCCGAAAAACAUGACGACGAAGACGAAUUUCUAAAGGUUCGAUUAAACGAUCUGUCGACGUAAAAAGAUAACUUUAAGCUGAUAAAUUCAUUAAAUAAAGAGGUACCGUAAAGAAAGAGAUAGAUAGAUAGGUAGAUAUAACGGAUGUGAUAAAAAAGAAAGAAAGUUGGGUUCGUUUCUGCGCGUCCAUCCUGUUCCUCGACGAUAACACGAGUGGAGCACAAUGGACACGAAGAUGCGGGACCUCUGCCAAACAGGUUGUGAGGGAAUGGAUUACGUGAAUCACGCUCGUAUCGCGUGCAAUGCAACGAGAGCACCUGUACGCACACGUUUAUACGAGUAUCUACAUACGAAUAACCAAAAGGGGAAACUGAGAGUCAUGUAGGUGAAAUUAAAAUUACAUAAACUUUGCGUAUAUUUUCGUUCGAGAAAACAUCGUCGUCUUUCAACCAAUCCCGAUUAUAUUCGAUUAUAUUCGACAAAAUGAAAUACAAAUACAAUGAGAAGGGAAUUAACAUAUAAUUAAAUAUGUAAAUAUACACGAUAUUUGUAGCUGAACUUUUGAACUUAAUGCUUGACAAUUUGAAGCGUCAUUGGGUAUAUCGAGUAAACAUAACGUUUAUAAGCAAAGCGAUUAAUAUUAUUCAAAGAUUCGAUUGAUUUAGAUUCCAAUAUUAAUAGGUGCAUUCGAAUUAGCACCAUAGCCAUAUCUAUUUUCGAUUUCUCGACUAACCCCUGACCUUAAGCUUGACAAUGUCGAAUCGUUCGAUGCGAUGAAGUUCGCAAGGGAAUUAACGGUGUCGGGGAUAAAUAUCAAAUUUGUGGGAGACGAAACGGGUAACGACGGAUACGGAAAAGCGAGCGUUAAGUGCACACAGACGUCUCAAGUGGUAAGUAUACCCACGGGAUAUAACCGAGUCUAUGGGAAAGUGCCGGUAAGCCAUGCUGCCCGAGCGAGUGCCUACUUUGGAAGAUUACUUCGAUACGCGUACACUUAGAUCUGGGUAUCCAUUCAGGUGCCUGUGGAGAAUUCUAACCGGUUUUGAGCGCUGCUGGUAGCCGACAUUCACCCCUCGCGAUUGCGAUCCCUACGGUCAAAUCAAGAGAGUAAAUUAUUCCUCUCUAUUAAUCCCUCUGCAAUCCAUCCUACAUCCUGUUUAUGCGAUACACGGAGGACGUUUAUGCCUUAAAAAUUUUAUAAAUAAGA